GGAUGGGAAAGUCUACCGUAGUUUAUAUUGGCACUGCACACUGGGGUGUUUAAGUGAAAGGAAGAUGGCAGAAAUCAGCAAGAAGAUCCAAGCUGGCAAAGCUCAAGAUAACGACAGAGAAAAUGUUGAUUAACACUGAAACAGCUUGCAACUGCCAUCGACAAAUGCUGUAAGGAGAUGCUCACAGGCAGCAAGGAUUCAUAUCCCAAAGUUGCAUCAACCAUUUGACCUCUGAGCCUGGAGCCAGAGAUGGGGAAACAUCUCUUAGAAGAACAAAGGACUGUUCCUUGUAACUGAUUCCUCGGAUUUCAAGCCCUUUUGCGCCAUGCGGGCCUUCCCCACCACUCCAAGUGUCUGUGUGCAAAUCACUUUGGGGGCUCUGUGAGUGCUGAUGCUUUUAUAGAAAUGAUGGCAUCAACAUUUUCUUUCCUCUGAUACUUUAAUAUUUUGCACGUGCGUUAAUUAAAAAAAUCUUAACGAAACCACACAUACAAUCACCUUGAUUGCUUUGUUGCAGUGCUUAAUCAGCCCACACGCAUACACAAUUAUCCACUGCCAAGGUAAGAGAUGCAAAUGA